rnacentral:rRNA from 1 species
UACGUCGGGUGCGAGCGUUGUCCGGAAUUAUUGGGCGUAAAGGGCUCGUCGGCGGUUUGUCGCGUCGGGAGUGAAAUCCACUGGCUUAACUGGUGGCUUGCUUUCGAUACGGGCAGACUGGAGGUAUGCAGGGGAGAACGGAAUUCCUGGUGUAGCGGUGAAAUGCGCAGAUAUCAGGAGGAACACCGGUGGCGAAGGCGGUUCUCUGGGCAUGUCCUGACGCUGAGGAGCGAAAGUGUGGGGAGCGAACAGG